rnacentral:rRNA from 1 species
AGCUUUUGCAAACCACUGUGACAGCUUAGACUUCGGUCUUUGCAAUUGCUUGGGUGUCGAAAGGCGCCCAAUCUUUAAAACUUUUAUAUUUGUUCUGAAACAAUGAAAAUUUAAAACUUUCAACAACGGAUCUCUUGGUUCUCGUAUCGAUGAAGAACGCAGCAAAGCGCGAUAGGUAAUGCGAAUUGCAGACGUGAGUCAUUGAAUUUUUGAACGCAUAUUGCGCUAUUAGUUUGUCUAAUAGCAUGCUUGUUGGAGUGAUAAUCUUCCUCUCAACCAUUUUUGGUAUGAGGUCUUGCUCCUUUUAGGAGUUAAAAUCAUGGAAGUGCACACGUUAAUUAACUCUGUGCAGUUAUACACUUUUCAUCCUCCAAUCAAGCAAGGUUACCCGCUGAACUUAAGCAUAUCAAUAAGCGGAGGAAGAGAUCAUUUCUGAAGGCUUUUUGCCAAAACCACUGUGAACAGCUUAGACUUCGGUCUUUGCAAUUGCUUGGGUGUCGAAAGGCGCCCAAUCUUUAAAACUUUUAUAUUUGUUCUGAAACAAUGAAAAUUUAAAACUUUCAACAACGGAUCUCUUGGUUCUCGUAUCGAUGAAGAACGCAGCAAAGCGCGAUAGGUAAUGCGAAUUGCAGACGUGAGUCAUUGAAUUUUUGAACGCAUAUUGCGCUAUUAGUUUGUCUAAUAGCAUGCUUGUUGGAGUGAUAAUCUUCUCUCACAUUUUUGGUAUG